UAAUACUUGUUACUGUUUUCUAACUUUUUAACCAUUCCUUAGGUAGGGAGAUGUGAAUGCAGUCAGUAAAAUAUCCCAGUGCUGGUAAGUGCUUGUUGAGCAAAGCAAAUGGACAUUUCAUAUGUAUUCCCAUAUCCAGAUUCAGGUUUAAACUGUGAUUUGAAAGUACCAUUCAGCACUCUUGUAAAAAAGUUCAGGCUUCCUAACUUAUUUUUGCUGGAAUUGUUUUCUAAGAUUCCUAAGAUUUUUCUGAUUUUUUUGCUUUUGACUUUUGUUUUUUCUUAAUCUACAAAAUGGGGAAUGUGAUACUUAAAUUCCACAAGGAGGUGUUGUUAGAAUUAAUAUUUGUACUCUUUGAAGAUCUAAGUACUGUACGAAGGAAUUGUCCCAACAUUUCUAGCUCCUAUUAACAAGAGGCAGAAGAAAUCUGCAUAUUUGUGCAUGCCUACUUAGUAUAUAAGGAGCAGGUUUGGGUUUGAAAUAAUGUUGGAAAUUGUCUGAAACUUUCCAAGCUGCCAGUGACAAGUGUCAUGUUACACUAAGAUGGCUGCCUCUGAAUUUCACUGCAAAAACUAUACUGUUUGGGCUUUUUUCCCUUGGAUUUCGGAUCACUGGAGGAAUGGUGCUUUUUUCUGUGCUGGAGAGCAGAAUCUCUUCUGUGAUCAUUCUCAAGGAGAGAUCCCCUGACUUCUGAAUUUCUUCGGCCAUAAAGUCCUGUUUGCAACAAAGCAGCUUUUAAGAUCAUGAGUUAAAAGUUUUCUUUUGCAAGUAGUUGGCCUUGUCACUUAUGUAUUUCCUGGGUUUUUUUCUUUUUUUUGCAUAUAUUGAAUGCUCUGACAUAGAAGUGAGAUUAAUGUUAUAUUUAGAAAAGCAGUAACUACAGUUUCCAUUAUUUCUCUCUGCUUGACAUGUGGUUCAGAUUUGCUUCCAAAGGCCAAAAGAAAAGAUUGGUAUAAACAAAACUGAGUUGUUUUUAUUUAUUAGCUGCAGCAUGUGGCAAACCAUGCACUGAGGCUUCUGUUGUUUGCAAGUUGAAAUAUUUUUUUUGAAAAUGAGAAAGCUGUACAGUUUCAAGUUUAUUUUUCAGUUCUUCAGGAAGUAGAUUUUAAAGCUUGAACUCAAAGUGCUGUUAAAUGUGGUAUAUUUUUUUUCCCUGACAGAUUUAAAAUUUUGUAACCUUUGUUUUAUUUAUGUAUCAUACUAAAUCCUUAAUAAAUACAAGUAUUGAAGAAGUUGUGGUUGUGGUGAAGUUGUGGUGCUUGCAAAUAAUUCUUCAUUAAAAUAGACAUGGAUAUGCUUCUAGUAGUAAUAAACUUAUAUAUAGGUAUAGAAAAGUGAUCUUUACAGGGAUCUGGAAAUGCAGAAGUGAGGAAAUAGGAAGGAAGGACAGGCUGAGCUGUUUUAAGUGUUGCACUUGGUGUUAUGAAAGGUGCCUUGCCAGCCUUGUGCCUCCUGCCAGGCUGGGAGCUGCCCUGAGCAUUGCUGGAAUCCCGGGGUGGACUUCUGGGAAGCCUUUGAGGGAACUCACCAGCUUCAGUUUCAGCAAGCCAGGCAGCUUGGUUCCUAAAGCAUUGUAAGAAUCUCCAUUUUUUGGGUUAUAGACAGUGUAGCCUUCUGAUUCUGUGACCCAAAGAGUGAAAAGAAAUUUUCUUUCGUUGUCAGCUAUACCUGACUUAGAAUGAAUCUUGAGGUCCAAAGUGUAUUAUAGUGCAAGAUGGUGUGAAACUGAACUGCCUAGGGAGAGAUCCCAAGUAUUAUUGAUGUUAUGCUUGGUUGUAAUUAGUGUGUUGAACUGAAAUUCUCUCCUAUUCCCAUGUAUUUGGCUCCCACAGUCCGUGCUGGAAGUUGGUGAAAGCAGUUGUUUAUAUUGAUUUGUUGUACAUCAUAAUGUCUCACUGUAAUUCUGUUGGAAGCGUUAUGUAUCAGGAUGGUUGCAUUUGUCCAUUUCCUAGUGAUAUUUGUGGCUUUAAGGUUCAUAUCAGUGCCCUGGAGCCUUGUGUGGCUCUUGCACCAACUGGAGCAGCAGCUUCUGGUCUUUUGGAAUACCCAGUGACAAAUUGGGUCCAAGUGCAGUCUGAGGACCUUUUUAGUUCCCUGCCUUUCCUUCUGCUUUCUUGGGGCAGGCCAACUGUGAAAGCUCAAGGAGAUCUUACUGUCUCAAGCUUUAAUGACUCUUUAACCACUCUGAUCUGCCAGAGAGCAGCUCUGGACUCCAGUCAUGCCUGUGGUCAGCACAGUACCAAUUUGUGUACAGGAGUACAAGGCUGUGAAGAUCUGAUUUUUGAAUGUCUGCAGAGUUCAAAAUCUAACAGCAGUUUGUUGUGGAAUGCUGAAAUUCACUGAAAACAAAUGUGAAAGAAUUGGGAGUUUUACUUUCUGUUUUCCUCCUGUUGGUAACUUAGUGUUGCAAUAUUUACAUUGGAAAGUGGUCUUGAACUAAGGUAAAGCAGUGGUAACUAGGAAAACCACAUCAUUAAAUUGCAUUAAUCAAUGGGAUACAAACCCAGUGAUCUUCCUGCAGUGUUUUUGUCUAUAAAACAGGACCAUGGAGAAUAACAUUUUGGACAGUAACACUUUUUAUACAGUAACAGUUGUAACAACUUUAAAAAGCCUGUCAAGAGUGCUAUUAUGUAGCUUCCAGCAUAUUUAAGGUCAGAUGUGACCUCCAGUCUUCCCAUCAUGUGUAUAACCUGUAAUUCUUUAGAUACUUGGACUAUGCUACCUGAUUGUUGCAAAGUCGAUAUUUGGUGGCUGAAACAUGAACUCUGAUAUUCAGUUUUUAAUUUUCUGGCUUUCCAACCACUAUGUGAUGGAUGGAUGUGACAUGUAAGGAGAAGGGAGGGAAAUUGUGUCACUAAAGCUUGGGGAAAGAUGGCACUGAACUUGUAUGUGGGGCCUGCCUGGGUCACUGCUGUGGCAAAGCUUUUCUACUGAAAAUGUGAACGUGAGGAGCAGAAGUAGCCUCUCUUCCAUUGGUAUGUAUGGAAUUUACCCUUGCUUGUAAGUUGUGGCCUGGCCGUGUCAGAUCGCAGUUAAGCAUAGAAAUCAGGGUAUAAAUUGAAAUCUCAGUGUCAGCUUCGUUAUAAAUCGGGGCCUGAAUUUUAAUUGAUGGCAGAAGUUUGCUUUCUAGUGAUUUAUCAGUCUGUUAUAUGAAGGCAAAGGUUGUUGUAGUUUGUGCUUCCCCUCUUUCUAAAAUAGCUUUUCUCCCUACUUAGUUUCAUAUUUUCAUAGUUUCAUAGACAGGUCUUCUGGAGUGAAAAAUAGAGUGCUUGUUUUUGAUAAGUUCAGUGAUUAGGUUAUCAAAAGUGUCUGUAAUGCACAGUUUUCUUUCUUUUGUGCCAUCAUAGUUUUGCUACAAGUGAGACUUAAUUGUCCAGAAAUACUCUUAGUUUUGUUAGUGGAAGUUUUCUUUAUGGGAAUGAUUAUAGAAAAAGAUGACAAAGAUUUUCAGCAGCAGUUUUGUUGGUUAUACUCUUUUUGCUGUUCUUUAGAAUGUGGCAUAAUAGCAACUGCAGUUGGGAGCAGCUAAGAGUUGUGAGUUUAAACUGCCUCUAAAAACUACACACUGGCUUAAUGGAGUGAGUUUGUACUUCAGAACAAAUUUAGUCAAUUUGUUUAAGUGCUCAGAGAAGGAGAAGAGUCAAGCAGCUCUAUCUCAGUGUUCUUUCAGGUGUAAUUCAAAGAUAUGUAAAAGUUGGAUAGUCCAGGUCCAGUGCUGGGAGCCAGGAAUUUAUAUCAUAAGCUUUAACCCUGAGAGAUUACUGCUCAUCUUGGACAAGUUGUUUAAUUGUUUUAUGCCCAUAUUGUCUCUGAAAGAAGCAUCUGAAUAUCUGCUAUAGUUGAUAAUUACUGACUUUAUUUAUGCUUAAUAAUAUAAUGCUUAACCAUUCUGUGAUGCUUUGUUAAUUACCUGUGAUUUGCUUCAUGUGACCUCUUAGAGCCAAACAUGUCUGUCUCUGUUUUAGACUGAAAAUGAUGAGCAGAUAAAAUUCUGUCCUCAGCUUGUGUGUGGUAAAAGUUUGAAACAAAAUCGGCCAUUUCCCCAGUUCAGGAAUGCUUUCUGUGGUUCUAGGUUUGUUGUGUCUGUCAAAUGUAGUUUGAUACUUAUUUUUGACAGGUUUCAGUAUUGCUAAGCAGCAAUGAGGACUGAUGUUGCUUCAUCAAAGGUAGUUUGUCUUGAAUGCAUGAAAAGUGUUAUUUCUGAGUAAAGAGAAGUGAAGACAGGAAUAAGGAUGUCUAUAAAACAGUUGUUUACCACAAGCUGGGUUUUUUUGGUUGUUUUGGUUUGGGUUUGUGGUUUUUUUUUUAAAUGAGGAUUGAUGGAAUUGGAGAGGAGAAAAAACUCUCAGAGAAUAAGAGUGACUGUGAAGUUGCAGUAAUAUUGCUGAGGAAAGAUUGGAAUAUAGUUGUGGGAGGGAAGCUAAUUUGGGCUUUUGACGACUGUGAUUAUGUUCUCUAUGCUCAUGAGGUAACAUCAUUUACAAGGAGCAAGAACUAGUAAUAGGUAGUUUGAAAUAUGCUAUAGAUGGCAAAAAAAAGACCCAAGGUUUUAGUCCUGUUCAGUAUUCCUGAGUCUGCUCCUGUAUUUGAGCUCUUCAGCUCAAAUACAGAAUGUCUGUAUCCAGAGAGAAAUAGGCUACUGUGUUCUAGGAGCUGCUCUGGAUGGACUAGAGUGUGCAUUUAAAGUGUGCAGGCCCCCAAAACAAAGAGCAUUUAGCAGACAGAUAAAUAGGCAGUGGCUGUUCAGCUCCCCAGAAGUAAUUCAGUCCUCUUUCUUGUUUGGAAGCAGGGGCACUUCAGCUUGUCAGUCAGGGAUUUUUCUGUCCCUUCUGUGAGGCAUUGCUGUUCUUGGAAUCUCUGUCUUAAAUUAAAAAUCAGUUCUAAAAAAGGCUUUUGUGUUGGAAAUGCACUGCUAGAAUGAUCAAGCCAUCAGACUCCACAGCACACAUGAGUGCAGGCUAGGCUAUCAGCAGCAGUCUAGAUGGAUUACAGCUCUGAAUCAGCUUUGUGAAACUUUUUAGCUUUUCAUUUUAUAGGGGCUACCUAAAUGCUUCUCAUUUGGCUAUUUCUACUGUAGGAAUGGAGUCCUGUGGUAGCUGUAGCUUCACAGAAUGUAUUUUUAAAGAGCUAAAAUGAAGACUGAAGUUCCCAGUGGAUGCAGAGCUGAAGGAAGACUUAAAAGCUGGUGUUCCAAGCUGUACUGUCUGGGCUUUUUCCCCGCCUUCUUUCUGUUCUCCCUGACUUGCCUAUUUAGGCCACAGCUGCAUGUUUGGCAGCAUUUCUCCUUAAAGAGGUACUCCUUCACGCUCUGCUGGCAUGGCUGUUCACCUAAGGGGACAGGGAACUUGCUGGGGAAGCUGAUCCAGCUGAAAAUUGUGUGGAGAGUGAUCAAGUGGCUCAGAGGAACAGGAGGAACUGUGGAAGAAGAUUGGUCUCUUUGUGGGACUUCACAAAAAGGCAGUGCAAGGCCCUGAUUGAUCUCUGAGUGCUGUGCUACUAUGAAGAGUAACAUCAGGUGCUAAAAAGGACUUUAAACUUUUGCUGUUCAAGAUCUGUACUUUGAAUAUGUGCUAUCUGCAGGCCAGCAAUAAAAUCACUGUUACAGGAUCAGAAUUAUUUUGUGAUGGAUUUUUUUUAUAGUAUGUAUGGAGUGGGUUUUCUGCUGUGUCCACACAAGCAGUCUGUGGAAAUGGGAUUUGUUCAGUGAUGUUUCAAGCUCUGUUAGUAAAAUGAGCUUGUUAAUAUCAGUGCAGUUAGUUUCUUUGAAGUUGUUGUAGGAAAUAAUACCAGUUGAAUGGGAGGUGGGUUAUUACUGAUUGCUUUAUUGUAAAGCACUUAAAAAGGAUAAUCUGACAAAUGAUAAUCUUCUCUUGUUGUGUCUUAUCAGUCUUAAUAUGAUUUGAAAAAUUGAUCCCUUCUUUGGGGUUUCAUUGUCACCUAAAUUGAUGUAUUGUCUUGCAUUAAAUGCUGCAGAAUUAGUCUGCCUUUGUUUUAGCUGCUGUUAAAGUGUGUAUGCAAUUAAAUGUGCUCUGUGUGUGCCUCAUGGAGCAAAAACAUCAAUUACUGAUGGUACCGAGUUAAGGCUGCAGUUUGUCCUUUCAUCUGUAGGAAACACUGUGCUCCCACGAUGAUUUCAUUAUAUAAGAUGUUUUAAUUACUGCCUUAAGGGUAUUUUUCAGGCCUUUUUUCCUGUUUUCAAUGUUCUGUAGUAUGCAGCACCAUAACUGUGUACAGUAUUUUUAGUAUGGAGUGAAAAGUUUAGCAACACAAAUCAGUGUUCAGUAAUCACAUGAAACUGAGGUUUGCACUCAAAGAAGUUAUUUAAAGGAGUAAAAAGCCUUGGCUUAGGUUGGUGUUUAGGUUGUGAAUGUGAGUGGUUACCCUGUUCCAAUGAAAAUGAAAGCAGAUAAAUACAGGAAGUAUUUAUUAAUCCAAACCAAUUUGGAGUAAUCUCUUUCAAGAAGCAGUGGUCAAAAUAAUAAUGCAGGGACAGUUUUCUAGGCUUUAAACUUGAGUGGAGCACGUAUAAUUAUAGCUUUGUUAUAUUGCCACAGGUCAGUUAUGCGCUUGCAGCAUGCACCAGCUAAAUGCUGCUUUUGUAAGGUCAGUGUGUCAGUAAACUGGAAGUAGAUGGGACAUUGCCUGCUUCUUUGAAAUUAGGUACCACUAUCACGUUCUGCUACUCUGAGCUGAUAUUACUGAAAACAAUUAUUUGAGGCUUCUCUGCACGACGGUAAUCCAGUGAGAGAAACAGAAGUGGCUGGAAGCUUCUCUCUUUUCUCUCCUAACUUAUCACUCUUUGGUUAAGCACUGGAGGAGAAGCCAUUAAUUUUGUCAGCCAUUCUUUAUCAAAAUGUAUUUUCCUCUCAGUGAUCUACAAGUGAUAGCACCAUGAAGGGAACGAGCAUAUUUAGGUCACAUGCGAAGCCCCUGAGGCAGUUCUGUUUGCGUCUAAUUUUGGAAGAAAAUUUUAGGGUCAGGAAAAAGUGGGUUUAAAGGAGUUGUAUUGUAAGAAAGAUUGAUUUUCCCAAAUAUACAGAAGGUGUUUUGUGUGGAAAUGUUUUCCUUUGCGUUUUCAGUUGCAGUUCUUAAAUUAAUGCUCUUGGAAUAAUGAGAGCUCUAAACAUACACAGUUAGCACUCUGGUUUUGAGAACUUGAGAAAAGAUAAUUGCAUGAAUUCAGGAGCAGUUAAGGUAAUUGAGACUUUGUAGUAUAGUUGCUUAUUUAAAAUAUGUUAAAUACAGUGUAAUUUCUAAUAUAUUCUUAUUUGUUGACUGCCAGUAGCUGUAUGUUCCCUUUUUUUUAAUGACCA